AGUGAACGCUGGCGGUAGGCCUAACACAUGCAAGUCGAACGGCAGCACAGGAGAGCUUGCUCUCUGGGUGGCGAGUGGCGGACGGGUGAGGAAUACAUCGGAAUCUACUUUUUCGUGGGGGAUAACGUAGGGAAACCUACGCUAAUACCGCAUACGACCUACGGGUGAAAGCAGGGGACCUUCGGGCCUUGCGCGAUUGAAUGAGCCGAUGUCGGAUUAGCUAGUUGGCGGGGUAAAGGCCCACCAAGGCGACGAUCCGUAGCUGGUCUGGGAGGAUGAUCAGCCACACUGGAACUGAGACACGGUCCAGACUCCUACGGGAGGCAGCAGUGGGGAAUAUUGGACAAUGGGCGCAAGCCUUAUCCAGCCAUACCGCGUGGGUGAAGAAGGCCUUCGGGUUGUAAAGCCCUUUUGUUGGGAAAGAAAUCCAGCUGGCUAAUACCCGGUUGGGAUGACGGUACCCAAAGAAUAAGCACCGGCUAACUUCGUGCCAGCCGCCGCAGUAA
rnacentral:rRNA from 1 species